UUGAAAAAAAAAAUUUAAAAAACUAGAACAAUACAGAGAAGAUCGGCAUGGUCUCUGCUCGAGGACGACACAAAAAUUCAUAAAGCGUUCCGUAUUUCU
rnacentral:snRNA from 1 species